rnacentral:rRNA from 1 species
GCAAGUCGAACGCUUUUUCUUUCACCGGAGCUUGCUCCACCGAAAGAAAAAGAGUGGCGAACGGGUGAGUAACACGUGGGUAACCUGCCCAUCAGAAGGGGAUAACACUUGGAAACAGGUGCUAAUACCGUAUAACACUAUUUUCCGCAUGGAAGAAAGUUGAAAGGCGCUUUUGCGUCACUGAUGGAUGGACCCGCGGUGCAUUAGCUAGUUGGUGAGGUAACGGCUCACCAAGGCAACGAUGCAUAGCCGACCUGAGAGGGUGAUCGGCCACACUGGGACUGAGACACGGCCCAGACUCCUACGGGAGGCAGCAGUAGGGAAUCUUCGGCAAUGGACGAAAGUCUGACCGAGCAACGCCGCGUGAGUGAAGAAGGUUUUCGGAUCGUAAAACUCUGUUGUUAGAGAAGAACAAGGAUGAGAGUAGAACGUUCAUCCCUUGACGGUAUCUAACCAGAAAGCCACGGCUAACUACGUGCCAGCAGCCGCGGUAAUACGUAGGUGGCAAGCGUUGUCCGGAUUUAUUGGGCGUAAAGCGAGCGCAGGCGGUUUCUUAAGUCUGAUGUGAAAGCCCCCGGCUCAACCGGGGAGGGUCAUUGGAAACUGGGAGACUUGAGUGCAGAAGAGGAGAGUGGAAUUCCAUGUGUAGCGGUGAAAUGCGUAGAUAUAUGGAGGAACACCAGUGGCGAAGGCGGCUCUCUGGUCUGUAACUGACGCUGAGGCUCGAAAGCGUGGGGAGCGAACAGGAUUAGAUACCCUGGUAGUCCACGCCGUAAACGAUGAGUGCUAAGUGUUGGAGGGUUUCCGCCCUUCAGUGCUGCAGCAAACGCAUUAAGCACUCCGCCUGGGGAGUACGACCGCAAGGUUGAAACUCAAAGGAAUUGACGGGGGCCCGCACAAGCGGUGGAGCAUGUGGUUUAAUUCGAAGCAACGCGAAGAACCUUACCAGGUCUUGACAUCCUUUGACCACUCUAGAGAUAGAGCUUCCCCUUCGGGGGCAAAGUGACAGGUGGUGCAUGGUUGUCGUCAGCUCGUG